UGAAUAAUUAUUUUUGUUGGAAAGCGAUAUGAGGCUGAUGGAUGGGAGUGCAAUGUUAAACUGGGCUUUGGUCAGGGAAAAAUUGAAAGGUUUACUAUAUUGGCAGCGCAUAUCCUGAAUGGACCGUUAAGCUGAAAAUGAUUAUGAGGAAUUAUUUUCGUUGCUGAUACAAUUGAUAAAAACAAGAUAUAAAUAUUAAAAUUUUCAAUUAUUAUUGUCAUUUUCA